UCUCUCCCUUUCCUCUCUUGCACGUCAAUUCUCACCCUCUCCCUUUCAUUCUUUUCCUCUCUUUCUCCUCCUCUCUUCUCACCCACACGACCAGCCCUUCCCCUUCUUCUCUUCAUCUCGCUUCAUCACACACACGCACGCCCAAAAAGAAGAAAACACAGUGAGAACGAGUGAGAGAUGCAGUGAUGGAGGGAGCUACCGAGAUCGAAUUCAAGUGGGAGAUGAAAUAAAUGAUGGGACAAAAGGAGAGUUCCGGCCUAGAGAGAUUUUUGAGGCUUGUGUCAUUAUUGGAGAUUUUAAUUGGUUCUCCAAUGUUGUGUCCAAGUGACGAGAACCCAGUGGGAUGUUCGAGUCCAGAGUCCAAUGCAGCCCAGAUGUAGUUUCUUUGGCUACAGGUAUUCUGAUCGUAGUUGAUGAUGUUGUAGAAGGUUACUUUGGAUAUUAUGACUGAAGCAUGCCGCAACGGUCGUAAUGGGUGGACCACAAGUUGUCCACUUGUUUAUAGGUUUAGUUUAUGGCUUGUGACGUUUGUGUCACUUGUUCUUGUAAAGCCAUUUCCGUUAUGUAAUUAUAUUGAGAAAAGACUUAAACAGAUAGAUGUAAUAUAGCUCUUUGUUUAUAAUUAUUUGUAAUAGAAGUUAUGUUAUGAUUUCCGCUA